rnacentral:rRNA from 1 species
AUUGAACGCUGGCGGCAGGCCUAACACAUGCAAGUCGAACGCGUGGCGGACGGGUGAGUCACGUCUGUGAAACUGCCUGAUGGAGGGGGAUAAUUCCUGGAAACGGUAGCUAAUACCGCAUACCAUCGGAUGUCCCCCGAUGGGUGUAGCUAGUAGGUGGGGUAACGGCUCACCUAGGCGACGAUCCGUAGCUGGUCUGAGAGGAUGACCAGCCACACUGGAACUGAGACACGGUCCAGACUCCUACGGGAGGCAGCAGUGGGGAAUAUUGCACAAUGGGCGCAAGCCUGAUGCAGCCAUGCCGCGUGUGUGAAGAAGGCCUUCGGGUUGUAAAGUACUUUCAGCGGGGAGGCGUUACCAGCAGAAGAAGCACCGGCUAACUCCGUGCCAGCAGCCGCGGUAAUAC